UUAGAGGAAGUAAAAGUCGUAACAAGGUUUCCGUAGGUGAACCUGCGGAAGGAUCAUUAAUGAAUUCUUGAACGGGGUUGUAGCUGGCCUUUCGAGGCAUGUGCACGCCUCGCUCAUCAUAUCCAUCUUACACCUGUGCACCUUUGCGUGGGUCUGUUGGCUUUCGGGCCUUCAGGCUCGCGUUCUUUACAAACUCUUGUAUGUCUUCAGAAUGUCUUAUUGCUAUAAACGCAUAUUAUACAACUUUCAACAACGGAUCUCUUGGCUCUCGCAUCGAUGAAGAACGCAGCGAAAUGCGAUAAGUAAUGUGAAUUGCAGAAUUCAGUGAAUCAUCGAAUCUUUGAACGCACCUUGCGCCCUUUGGUAUUCCGAAGGGCACGCCUGUUUGAGUGUCGUGAAAUUCUCAACCCAUACUUCUUUUUGAAGGAUGGGCUUGGAUUUGGAGGUCUUUGCUGGCUCGCCUUUCGAGGUGGAUCGGCUCCUCUUGAAUGCAUUAGUGAGGCCUUUUGCAAUGUUGCCUUUGGUGUGAUAAUUGUCUACGCCGUUGGUGAUGAUGCGAAACUUGAAGGACUCGCUUCUAACUGUCUCGUCAGGGACUCUAUCGAACUUUGACCUCAAAUCAGGCGGGACUACCCGCUGAACUUAAGCAUAUCAAUA
rnacentral:rRNA from 1 species